rnacentral:rRNA from 1 species
UACAGAGGUCUCAAGCGUUGUUCGGAUUCAUUGGGCGUAAAGGGCGCGCAGGCGGUCAACCAAGUCAGAUGUGAAAGCCCCGGGCUCAACCUGGGAACUGCAUUUGAGACUGGAUGACUUGAGUUCGGGAGAGGAGAGCGGAAUUCCCAGUGUAGAGGUGAAAUCGUAGAUAUUGGGAAGAACACCGGUGGCGAAGGCGGCUCUCUGGACCGAGUACUGACGCUGAGGCGCGAAAGCGUGGGGA